GACGAACGCUGGCGGCGUGCUUAACACAUGCAAGUCGAACGGAAAGGCCCUGCUUUUGUGGGGUGCUCGAGUGGCGAACGGGUGAGUAACACGUGAGUAACCUGCCCUUGACUUUGGGAUAACUUCAGGAAACUGGGGCUAAUACCGGAUAGGAGCUCCUGCUGCAUGGUGGGGGUUGGAAAGUUUCGGCGGUUGGGGAUGGACUCGCGGCUUAUCAGCUUGUUGGUGGGGUAGUGGCUUACCAAGGCUUUGACGGGUAGCCGGCCUGAGAGGGUGACCGGCCACAUUGGGACUGAGAUACGGCCCAGACUCCUACGGGAGGCAGCAGUGGGGAAUAUUGCACAAUGGGCGGAAGCCCGAUGCAGCAACGCCGCGUGCGGGAUGACGGCCUUCGGGUUGUAAACCGCUUUCGCCUGUGACGAAGCGUGAGUGACGGUAAUGGGUAAAGAAGCACCGGCUAACUACGUGCCAGCAGCCGCGGUGAUACGUAGGGUGCGAGCGUUGUCCGGAUUUAUUGGGCGUAAAGGGCUCGUAGGUGGUUGAUCGCGUCGGAAGUGUAAUCUUGGGGCUUAACCCUGAGCGUGCUUUCGAUACGGGUUGACUUGAGGAAGGUAGGGGAGGAUGGAAUUCCUGGUGGAGCGGUGGAAUGCGCAGAUAUCAGGAGGAACACCAGUGGCGAAAGCGGUUCUCUGGGCCUUUCCUGACGCUGAGGAGCGAAAGCGUGGGGAGCGAACAGGCUUAGAUACCCUGGUAGUCCACGCUGUAAACGGUGGGUACUAGGUGUGGGGUCCAUUCCACGGGUUCCGUGCCGUAGCUAACGCUUUAAGUACCCCGCCUGGGGAGUACGGCCGCAAGGCUAAAACUCAAAGGAAUUGACGGGGCCCCGCACAAGCGGCGGAGCAUGCGGAUUAAUUCGAUGCAACGCGUAGAACCUUACCUGGGUUUGACAUGGAUCGGGAGCGCUCAGAGAUGGGUGUGCCUCUUUUGGGGUCGGUUCACAGGUGGUGCAUGGCUGUCGUCAGCUCGUGUCGUGAGAUGUUGGGUUAAGUCCCGCAACGAGCGCAACCCUUGUUCACUGUUGCCAGCACGUUAUGGUGGGGACUCAGUGGAGACCGCCGGGGUCAACUCGGAGGAAGGUGGGGAUGACGUCAAGUCAUCAUGCCCCUUAUGUCCAGGGCUUCACGCAUGCUACAAUGGCUGGUACAGAGAGUGGCGAGCCUGUGAGGGUGAGCGAAUCUCGGAAAGCCGGUCUCAGUUCGGAUUGGGGUCUGCAACUCGACCUCAUGAAGUCGGAGUCGCUAGUAAUCGCAGAUCAGCAACGCUGCGGUGAAUACGUUCCCGGGGCU
rnacentral:rRNA from 1 species